UACAGAGGGGGCAAGCGUUGUUCGGAAUUACUGGGCGUAAAGGGCGCGUAGGUGGCGACCCAAGUCAGUGGUGAAAGCUCGAUGCUCAACAUCGAGUCGGCCACUGAUACUGGGUUGCUCGAGCACUGUAGAGGCAGAUGGAAUUCCGGGUGUAGCGGUGGAAUGCGUAGAGAUCCGGAAGAACACCGGUGGCGAAGGCGGUCUGCUGGGCAGUAGCUGACGCUGAUGCGCGACGAGCGUGGGGAGCAAACAGG
rnacentral:rRNA from 1 species